GAUGAACGCUAGCUACAGGCUACACAUGCAAGUCGAGGGGCAGCAUGGUCUUAGCUUGCUAAGACUGAUGGCGACCGGCGCACGGGUGAGUAACACGUAUCCAACCUGCCGUCUACUCUUGGACAGCCUUCUGAAAGGAAGAUUAAUACAAGAUGGCAUCAUGAGUCCGCAUGUUCACAUGAUUAAAGGUAUUCCGGUAGACGAUGGGGAUGCGUUCCAUUAGAUAGUAGGCGGGGUAACGGCCCACCUAGUCUUCGAUGGAUAGGGGUUCUGAGAGGAAGGUCCCCCACAUUGGAACUGAGACACGGUCCAAACUCCUACGGGAGGCAGCAGUGAGGAAUAUUGGUCAAUGGGCGAGAGCCUGAACCAGCCAAGUAGCGUGAAGGAUGACUGCCCUAUGGGUUGUAAACUUCUUUUAUAAAGGAAUAAAGUCGGGUAUGUAUACCCGUUUGCAUGUACUUUAUGAAUAAGGAUCGGCUAACUCCGUGCCAGCAGCCGCGGUAAUACGGAGGAUCCGAGCGUUAUCCGGAUUUAUUGGGUUUAAAGGGAGCGUAGAUGGAUGUUUAAGUCAGUUGUGAAAGUUUGCGGCUCAACCGUAAAAUUGCAGUUGAUACUGGAUAUCUUGAGUGCAGUUGAGGCAGGCGGAAUUCGUGGUGUAGCGGUGAAAUGCUUAGAUAUCACGAAGAACUCCGAUUGCGAAGGCAGCCUGCUAAGCUGCAACUGACAUUGAGGCU
rnacentral:rRNA from 1 species